GCCGGAGGAGGCAAUCGUUAUCCGGAAUUAUUGGGCGUAAAGGGUACGUAGGCGGCUGGUCAAGUCUGGGGUUAAAGGCCACAGCUCAACUGUGGGAAGGCCCUGGAAACUGACCGGCUAGAGUGAGGUAGGGGUUGCGGGAAUUCCCGGUGUAGCGGUGAAAUGCGUAGAGAUCGGGAAGAACACCUGAGGCGGAAGCGCGCAACUGGGCCUCAACUGACGCUGAGGUACGAAAGCUAGGGGAGAGAAUGGG
rnacentral:rRNA from 1 species